GGAACACCUACAAAGAACGGCAGAAAAACUGAAGACGCGAAAUAAUAUAAUCCAAAAGCUAUGUGGCACCACAUGGGUGUCCUCAGCCUCCGUACUCAGAUCAUCCGCUCUCGGACUCGUAUACUCGGCGGCUGAAUAUGCUUCGCCGGUAUGGCUCAAUAGCAAACACACGAAGAUCAUUGACACCCAAUUAAACCAGACAAUGCGAAUGAUCUCAGGUACAAUUCGACCAACACCGAACUAUUGGCUUCCCAUUCUGAGUCACAUUCCAUCGCCUAAACUAAGAAGAAGUCAUUCUCUUCUCAGAGAAUAUCGAAAAA
rnacentral:lncRNA from 1 species